rnacentral:rRNA from 1 species
CGGGACGGGUGAGUAAUGUCUGGGAAACGUGCCUGAUGGAGGGGGAUAACUACUGGAAACGGUAGCUAAUACCGCAUAACGUCGCAAGACCAAAGUGGGGGACCUUCGGGCCUCUUGCCAUCGGAUGUGCCCAGAUGGGAUUAGCUAGUAGGUGGGGUAACGGCUCACCUAGGCGACGAUCCCUAGCUGGUCUGAGAGGAUGACCAGCCACACUGGAACUGAGACACGGUCCAG